CAGAAGCCUCAAGCUUGCCCAAGUGGGCAGAGGGAUCCUCCUCCUGGCAUCGCUGAAAAAACAAACGAUGAGCGUCAGAUCACUUGCCACCUGGGAAAAAUUAAUCUUUGUAAAACAAACCUACCAAAAAUAUUCUUUAUAAAGCCACUCCAUACAAAAAUUGUGUGAAAUGAACAAGCAGAGUUCCCCGCAGUGCACGGAUAAGCUGUGGUGACAGCCAAAUUGCAGAGAGCUCCAGCUCUGACUCAAGACACUGCAGAUGCUGAAAAAUGGUUCAAAAAGCCAAUGAGGUGAACUCGUGGAAGGAGAAUCGUUUAAGACUCUAAAAAGAUGUCCUGUAAUGCAAAGAGGCUGGACAGGAGCGUAUGGGGGCUUCUUCAGAUUGCAUUUCACAGCCACAUUGCUUUUCAUGGCAGUCCUAUUGACUUGACUGAAAUUCUGCCUUAUGCAAUCAAAGAGAAUUUCUUUGCAGAACAGUAACUGAGAAUUUUGACCUCCUUCACUUACUCUGAGGAUAACAUUGAAAAAUGGAGUGCAUAACAAGUACAGAAUUGCAUUUAUAAGCUGGCAGUGCUGCCUGAUUGCAAGUCUGUUAUGUAAAAGCAUUUAACACUGACUGUAGAGAUUGAGAUGUAAGCAGGUAAUAGCCAUGAUAGAGAACAAAUAAAAUUACCUUGGAACAAGAAACUUCAAA